GCACCGGGGAAGGCGGGGGACCCGGGACUUCCAAGUGUCCUCCUGCAUCUCACCCUCCAAGUCAUCUCAGCGCGCGGAGCUGAGCUCCCCGUGUUAAACGGUGACUUCUCAGCAGCUGCCUGUUUACACACGGGAGUAAGCUGCUUCCACUUGAGCUUACUGGGGAUUUUGACUUCUGAGAUCCAGGACUAAGAAGAGGUGCACGGCUGACAUCUGACAGCGACGUCUCCUUGACAUUCCGUGUCCCUGGUGCUCCACAGCCUCGCCCAAGCUCUGGCUCUACAUGACACUGUUUCUAUUAAUUUUUCAAAUAACAAAAUGAAUGUUGAUUAGUCCCUGUUGAGUGUUCCCUGUGUAGGAAAUAUAACUUACAUGUACUCGCUUAUUUUUCCCUGCACAAAACCCUAUGAAGUAUCAUCAUUCCUGUUUUAUAUACAAGGAAACCAAAAACAUGGAGAUGCUAAAAUAAAUAUCCCAAGAUGUCUCAUCUAGGAAAUGCCAGAUCCAGGAGUUGGACCUGCCGGGGUGAUCUGAUUCUCAACUAUUGGUGCCUACAUUUCAAUCGGAUACUUCUUCAAAGGCAAUUCUGUCCAUAUGACUCAUAAAAAAAGUUCACAGCUGGUUUUCCUACCAGCUACAUCAGAGACUCCCUAGCUUCAGCCUAAUCACAGCCCAUGGAAUCUGAAACUAUGAGUCAGCAGAGGUCAAGAAUUUUCAGGGUAGCUGUCCAACGGGAGAAUUUCAAAUAUCAAGCUCCAAGACUGCUCAUUCUCAGAGUGGUCUUUUUAAAAUUUCAUGCAGUUAAAACGUUGUUAUUUGC